GAUGAACGCUAGCUACAGGCUUAACACAUGCAAGUCGAGGGGUAGCAGGGUAGCAAUACCGCUGACGACCGGCGCACGGGUGAGUAACACGUAUCCAACCUUCCCAUAACUCGGGGAUAGCCUUUCGAAAGAAAGAUUAAUACCCGAUAGUACUUAUAUAGGGCAUCCUACAUAAGUUAAAGAUUUAUUGGUUAUGGAUGGGGAUGCGUUCCAUUAGAUAGUUGGUGAGGUAACGGCUCACCAAGUCUUCGAUGGAUAGGGGUUCUGAGAGGAAGGUCCCCCACAUUGGUACUGAGACACGGACCAAACUCCUACGAGAGGCAGCAGUGAGGAAUAUUGGUCAAUGGGCGAGAGCCUGAACCAGCCAAUUAGCGUGAAGGAUGAAGGUCCUAUGGAUUGUAAACUUCUUUUAUAGUAGAAUAAAGUGUUCCACGUGUGGCUUUUUGUAUGUAUACUAUGAAUAAGGAUCGGCUAACUCCGUGCCAGCCGCCGCCGUAA
rnacentral:rRNA from 1 species